UCGCUCUUUUCAGGACCUUUGCUGUUCUGAGGAGCAAACGUCCUGAAAAGAGUGAGG
rnacentral:pre_miRNA from 1 species